CCUACGGGUGGCAGCAGUGGGGAAUAUUGGUCAAUGGGCGUAAGCCUGAUCCAGCAAAGCCGCGUGAGGGAUGAAGCGUCUAUGGAUCGUAAACCCCUUUUAUAAGGGAAUAAAGUGUGGGACGUGGCCUAUUAUGUAUGUACCUUAUGAAUACGGAUCGGCUAACUCCGUGCCAGCAGCCGCGGUAAUACGGAGGGUCCGAGCGUUAUCCGGAUUUAUUGGGUUUAAAGGGUGCGUAGGCGGCCUGUUAAGUCAGCGGUGAAAGUCUGUGGCUCAACCGUGGAAUUGCCGUUGAAACUGGGGGGCUUGAGUAUGUUUGAGGCAGGCGGAAUGCGUGGUGUAGCGGUGAAAUGCUUAGAUAUCACGCAGAACCCCGAUUGCGAAGGCAGCCUGCCAGGCCAUGACUGACGCUGAUGCACGAAAGCGUGGGGAUCAAACAGGAUUAGAUACCCCUGUAGUC
rnacentral:rRNA from 1 species